CCUACGGGCGGCAGCAGUGAGGAAUAUUGGUCAAUGGACGAGAGUCUGAACCAGCCAAGCAGCGUGUAUGAUGAAUGCCCUCUGGGUUGUAAACAUCUUUUAUAUGGGAAUAAAAUGUUCCACGUGUGGGAUUUUGUAUGUACCAUAUGAAUAAGGAACGGCUAACUCCGUUCCAGCAGCCGCGGUAAUACGGAGGAUCCGAUCGUUAUCCGGAUUUAUUGGGUUUAACGGGAGCGUAGGUGGAUUGUUAAGUCAGUUGUGAAGGUUUGCGGCUCAACCGGAAAAUUGCAGUUGAUACUGGCAGUCUUGAGUACAGUAGAGGUGGGCAGAAUUCGUGGUGUAGCGGUGAAAUGCUUAGAUAUCACGAAGAACUCCGAUGGCGAAGGCAGCUCACUGGACUGCAACUGACACUGAGGCGCGAAAGUGUGGGUAUCAAACAGGAUUAGAUACCCGUGUAGUC
rnacentral:rRNA from 1 species